ACCUGGCUGGCUCAAUCAGUAGAGCAUGUGACUCUUGAUCUCAGGGUCAUGUGUUCCAGCCCCAUGUUGGGUG
rnacentral:tRNA from 1 species